AGGAGAGCGAGUUGCUGGUGGUGAAGAUGGAUGGGCGCAAACACCGUCUGAUCCUGCCUGAGGCCAAAGUCCAGGACAGUGGCGAGUUUGAGUGCAGGACAGAAGGGGUCUCGGCCUUCUUUGGCGUCACUGUCCAAGAUCCUCCCGUGCACAUCGUGGACCCCCGAGAACAUGUGUUCGUGCAUGCCAUAACUUCCGAGUGUGUCAUGCUGGCCUGUGAGGUGGACCGAGAGGACGCCCCUGUGCGUUGGUACAAGGAUGGGCAGGAGGUGGAGGAGAGUGACUUCGUGGUGCUGGAGAAUGAGGGGCCCCAUCGCCGCCUGGUGCUGCCCGCCACCCAGCCCUCAGACGGGGGCGAGUUUCAGUGCGUCGCUGGAGAUGAGCGUGCCUACUUCACCGUUACCAUCACAGGUGGGGGGCCAGGUGGGCCUCGGAGGCACAGGGGAAGGUGCCCCUGCUCCCGCUGGGGCAGCUGCCACACCUUCACUCCUGGGCCACUGUUCCCCGCCCCUGCUGCCCUCCCCUGGCAGAUUGGACCUCCUCCCUUUCUCCUCAAGCUAUGGUCUAGUCACACUCAGGAAACGUGUUAUCAUAAGCACAUUGGUCUUGGCUAAGGAAGCCCGGCUUUCUCUAUUCUCCUGAAAACCUGUACCAAGGGAAAUCUCUGGGGACAGUGAGUCUGUUGCAGGGUAGGGCAGAGUCUAGGGCCGGUGGUCUCAGGCACUAGAGGGGCAAAAAAAUCUUGGAGGAGGAGACCCCCAGCUUCUCCUCCCAACCCUCCUCUCCUCAGUUCCACCCUUCUUACCAUCCCUGUCCCAACCCAGAGAAUGUGGAGCGUUUCUACAGCCGAGGCUGACCCCGUGGUCCCCUCUGUGCAGCUCCUAUGCAGCACAAAGUCUGCUGUGCUUUUGUGACAGCUGUAUUCGUGUGUCUCUGGCUGUGGGUAACUG
rnacentral:sRNA from 1 species